rnacentral:rRNA from 1 species
GAUGAACGCUGGCGGCGUGCCUAAUACGUGCAAGUCGAGCGAACGGACGAGAAGCUUGCUUCUCUGAUGUUAGCGGCGGACGGGUGAGUAACACGUGGAUAACCUACCUAUAAGACUGGGAUAACUUCGGGAAACCGGAGCUAAUACCGGAUGAUAUUUUGAACCGCAUGGUUCAAAAGUGAAAGACGGUCUUGCUGUCACUUAUAGAUGGAUCCGCGCUGCAUUAGCUAGUUGGUAAGGUAACGGCUUACCAAGGCAACGAUGCAUAGCCGACCUGAGAGGGUGAUCGGCCACACUGGAACUGAGACACGGUCCAGACUCCUACGGGAGGCAGCAGUAGGGAAUCUUCCGCAAUGGGCGAAAGCCUGACGGAGCAACGCCGCGUGAGUGAUGAAGGUCUUCGGAUCGUAAAACUCUGUUAUUAGGGAAGAACAUAUGUGUAAGUAACUGUGCACAUCUUGACGGUACCUAAUCAGAAAGCCACGGCUAACUACGU